ACGCUCGACACCUACGGGAGACAGCAGUGGGGAAUAUUGCACAAUGGGGGAAACCCUGAUGCAGCGACGCCGCGUGAAGGAAGAAGUAUCUCGGUAUGUAAACUUCUAUCAGCAGGGAAGAAAGUGACGGUACCUGACUAAGAAGCCCCGGCUAACUACGUGUCAGCAGCCGCGGUAAUCUGAGCGGGCUGGCAAGGC
rnacentral:rRNA from 1 species